UUUAGGGGGUUUUUUAAGUUUUUGAACAGCUCAGAUUGAACGCUGGCGGCAGGCUUAACACAUGCAAGUCGAGCGGGGAUAGGGUGCUUGCACCUGAUUCCUAGCGGCGGACGGGUGAGUAAUGCUUAGGAAUCUGCCUAUUAGUGGGGGACAACGUUCCGAAAGGGACGCUAAUACCGCAUACGUCCUACGGGAGAAAGCAGGGGAUCUUCGGACCUUGCGCUAAUAGAUGAGCCUAAGUCGGAUUAGCUAGUUGGUGGGGUAAAGGCCUACCAAGGCGACGAUCUGUAGCGGGUCUGAGAGGAUGAUCCGCCACACUGGGACUGAGACACGGCCCAGACUCCUACGGGAGGCAGCAGUGGGGAAUAUUGGACAAUGGGGGCAACCCUGAUCCAGCCAUGCCGCGUGUGUGAAGAAGGCCUUUUGGUUGUAAAGCACUUUAAGCGAGGAGGAGGCUUACCUGGUUAAUACCUGGGAUAAGUGGACGUUACUCGCAGAAUAAGCACCGGCUAACUCUGUGCCAGCAGCCGCGGUAAUACAGAGGGUGCAAGCGUUAAUCGGAUUUACUGGGCGUAAAGCGCGCGUAGGUGGCUAAUUAAGUCAAAUGUGAAAUCCCCGAGCUUAACUUGGGAAUUGCAUUCGAUACUGGUUAGCUAGAGUAUGGGAGAGGAUGGUAGAAUUCCAGGUGUAGCGGUGAAAUGCGUAGAGAUCUGGAGGAAUACCGAUGGCGAAGGCAGCCAUCUGGCCUAAUACUGACACUGAGUGCGAAAAGUACGCG
rnacentral:rRNA from 1 species